AGUGAACGCUGGCGGUAGGCCUAACACAUGCAAGUCGAACGGCAGCACAGUAAGAGCUUGCUCUUACGGGUGGCGAGUGGCGGACGGGUGAGGAAUACAUCGGAAUCUACCUUUUCGUGGGGGAUAACGUAGGGAAACUUACGCUAAUACCGCAUACGACCUACGGGUGAAAGCAGGGGAUCUUCGGACCUUGCGCGAGUGAAUGAGCCGAUGGCGGAUUAGCUAGUUGGCGGGGUAAAGGCCCACCAAGGCGACGAUCCGUAGCUGGUCUGAGAGGAUGAUCAGCCACACUGGAACUGAGACACGGUCCAGACUCCUACGGGAGGCAGCAGUGGGGAAUAUUGGACAAUGGGCGCAAGCCUGAUCCAGCCAUACCGCGUGGGUGAGGAAGGCCUUCGGGUUGUAAAGCCCUUUUGUUGGGAAAGAAAAGCAGCAGGUUAAUACCCCGCUGUUCUGACGGUACCCAAAGAAUAAGCACCGGCUAACUUCGUG
rnacentral:rRNA from 1 species